AUCACGGGUGAAGGAGACCACCGAGAUCCAAUAGUGAAAAAUGAAGAUAAUGAAUAAGGAGAUAUACAACUGAAGGGGCUGAUUUGGGUAAAUUGAGAAAUCUAGGGUUUUGAAUAAAACUCUCUUUCUCUCUGUUUUGGUGCAGAAACUGAUGGGGAUUCAGGCGGCCUCAUCGUAGGGUCUCAGGAGGCAACGAGCAAACCGCUCGCCUCAGCCAUUCACGCGGCUUCAAGGCGGAGAUGAAACAUCAAGCGAGCUGCUUAAACCAACCAGUGCAUCAACCAUCUGAUCCUAACCCUUCCAUGCGACUUCGAUUCGAUUUCGUGAGGCAGCGACCAAAACGCCUGGUCAUCCAAAAUUAGAAUCGCUGCUAUUCUGAUUCUUCGCUGUAUGUUUCAAUCGACUUGAAGUGUCCUCGUGAGGCUAAGAUGAGACUGACUGGUUUUUCAGUUACAAGGUUUACCUAUUUUAACUCACAAUCUGAUCAUUUCCAUGUAUAUUGACGUGUUUGGCUGUAUAUAUAUCUGAUUCUAAAAAGAAUCGAUUUUGAAACCUUAAUUUUCCAAACUUACACUUCUCAUUUUUGGUGAUGAAUCUAAUCAACCGAAUUACUGAUAAAGCAGGCUAUGUGAGUGCUUUGGGUUUGCUCAUGACAAUGCUAUCUUUGAUGUAUGUUGGAUGAAGCUACAGAAAAAUCUAAUCAUUCAAUCACAGUUACAUAUAUUUACUGUCCUUUUUAUUGCUGGAAGGGAAGAGACAUUUGAAUCCAAAGGGAGAAAGAAAGUUGUGUUCCAAAUGGACCAAGUAAUGAGUUGAAGCCUAUACCAUUUGCUGAAAUUGUCACAAAGUUGGGAGGAUUUGAAAACUGAAAAUUUGAGGUUGUGUUGUUAAUUUGUGCAUCUAUGCUAUGACUUCAUCUUUUGAGUUAAACACGACACUACAUGUUGAUUUUGGCUCACAAUUAUGUCAUAUUUGGUAUUUCACUUCAUCUAAUAAUUAGUGUGGUAUUCUGUCA